GACGAACGCUGGCGGCGUGCCUAAUACAUGCAAGUUGAGCGCUGAAGGUUGGUACUUGUACCAACUGGAUGAGCAGCGAACGGGUGAGUAACGCGUGGGGAAUCUGCCUUUGAGCGGGGGACAACAUUUGGAAACGAAUGCUAAUACCGCAUAAAAACUUUAAACACAAGUUUUAAGUUUGAAAGAUGCAAUUGCAUCACUCAAAGAUGAUCCCGCGUUGUAUUAGCUAGUUGGUGAGGUAAAGGCUCACCAAGGCGAUGAUACAUAGCCGACCUGAGAGGGUGAUCGGCCACAUUGGGACUGAGACACGGCCCAAACUCCUACGGGAGGCAGCAGUAGGGAAUCUUCGGCAAUGGACGAAAGUCUGACCGAGCAACGCCGCGCGAGUGAAGAAGGGUUUCGGAUCGUAAAACUCUGUUGGUAGAGAAGAACGUUGGUGAGAGUGGAAAGCUCAUCAAGUGACGGUAACUACCCAGAAAGGGACGGCUAACUACGUG
rnacentral:rRNA from 1 species